rnacentral:lncRNA from 1 species
AUGCAGCCUAGGUCUCUUCUGCCUGGAAAUUCACCUGAGAGUCUGUGCCUGGAGGCGCAGGUGCACCAGGAAGUUCCACCUAGAAGUGCAGGUGCUCAAGGGAUUCUCACCAGGAAGUUCACCCAUAAAUGCAGAUGCAGCAGAAUGUCUUACCUAGAAGUGCAGGUGCAUCAGGAAGUGCAGAUGUGCAAGGGAUUCUCACCAGGAAGUGCAGAUGAACCAAGAAGUCUGCACCAGGAAGUGCAGGUGCACCAGGAAGUCUGCAUCUGGGAGUGCAGGUGCACCCGGAAGUCUGCAUCUGGGAGUGCAGGUGCACCAGGAAGUCUGCAUCUGGGAGUGCAGGUGCACCCGGAAGGCUCAUCUGGGAGGGAAGGCUCAUCUGGGAGUGCAGUUGUACCAGAAAGUCCCAUCUGGAAGUGCAGGUGCACCAGGAAGUCUCACCUGGAAGUACAGGUGCACCAGGAAAUCUACAUGUUCCACAUGAGGUGACUCCUGGGCCUGUUUUCUGAUUCCGUUUCCAACUCUGCUGACAUUAAUCCACCACCCCAGUGUCUCUCAGCUCUAAAUCCAUGAUUCCCUCACACUCCACCCUUCUGGCCUGGCCUGUGCCUCUUUGCCCCUGUGACAGGGAAGGGUGGCAGAGCAAGUGCUGCCCAUAGGAGUCCCGGACUGGCUGGUCAUGGCCACCUUGGGCCCAGGCCUCCUCCUCUUGUGAGGAGGUAGGCAGGCAGCCAGUGAUGCCUGGGCCCCCUCCUGACACUGGGCCCCCCAGGAAGGCCAGCAGUGCCAGGCCUGGGAGUGGAGUAUGGAAGCCUCAGAAGUUGCCUAUUCCAAGAGCAUGGCAGUGGGCCAGGCUUUCUCCCCAGCCGGGAGGACCCAAGGACCCCUUGUUUCUGAGGGGCCCUUGUUUCUGAGGGUCCCUUGUUUCCAAGAGGCCCUACACUUUCUGAGGAACUUCCUUGGAUUCAGGCCUCUGCCACAUCUCAAAUUCUCUCCCUGCUUCUGCUACAAACAGCCAUGAGGUGGGGCCCACCUAGCAGCUCCCAGCUCCAUGAGAGUGAGGCCAUGGCCAUCUCCAAAGACCACAGUGGCCUGACCAGGUGGAUGUGACAUCUUUACUGCCCACUGCUGAGACCUUUCUGCCUCUUGUUUCCAUGCUGGGGUGUUCAGGGAAGUCCUGCCAGGCCCUGGGCCUUGGGGCAGAAGCUCCAUUUUCACCAGAAGCUGAGAAUGAGAGGAACGUUCAGGUAGAUGCAGAGGUGAGAACCCUGCAGGGGCUGAGCCGGCCCAGCCCAGCCAAAUCCCAGCCUGGGGACCAGGGGCAAACUGUUAAACCUCGGUGUCCACAGUUAUAAAGCAGCAGUGAUGGCAGCUCCAGGCUCCCACACACUUAGACAGGAACAUGGUGGCCUAAGUGAGGGCAGGCCGCCUGCCCAGGGCCCCCACUGCUGUGGCUGUGUUCCUUGUUGUUGCUGUUGGCAGUGUCCUAUGAGAACCACCUGGGCACACACCAUGGCAGGAAAGCUGGAAGUCUCAUCUGGGACUCUCAUGUGUGGUUCCCACCUUGGCAGAGCCAUCUGGGCUAUUCUGAGCACAGUUCACCCACCACCUAAGGAAUGGGAAACUCCUCACAUUCGACGCCUCCUUUUAAACAAGGUCCACGGCUUCCAUUUUCCUAUGCUAUGGCAGGCCAUGACCUUUACUCAUGCCUCCCACACAACAAAAUCAAAUAAAAUAAAUCCUGGGUAAGAUAUGAACAUUUCUUUAAAGUAUUGAUAAACUGACAAAGAAGCUUUAUUCCAAGAGUCAGGUUAGAGUUCAGUAGGGACUGACAGGGCCUCCAGGAACAUGGCAGAAGUAAACACAGAUCCCUUCUGUACCACAGGACCCCAAGCACUUUGGGAGGCUGAAGCUGGCAGAUCACCUGAGAUCAGGAAUUGGAGACAAGCCUGACCAAUGUGGUUAAACCCAGUCUCUACUAAAAAUACAAAAGUCAGCCGGGCAUGUAGCAUGCACCUGUAGUCCCAGCAACUUGGGAGGCUGAGGCAGGAGAAUUGCUUGAACCUGGGAGGCAGAGGUUGCAGUGAGCCAAGAUCGCCCCAUUGCACUCCAGCCUGGGUGACAGAGCGAGACUGACUCAAGAAAAAAGGAAUUCAGAUAAUCAGAUAAUGGCCUUAUCACACACAGAGGACGAGAAAUUAAAGGACCAAAAACAUGCAAAAAAUAACUACGCCCAACCCUGAGAAGAUCUCCUAGAAUGAAAAUACAUAACUGAAAUUCAAAGGCAAUGAAUGCAUUUAACUGCAGAGCAGACACAGCAGAGGAGAGGACGGAUGAGCCUGGAGGAAGCGGAAGCUGUCCUCUAUGCAGCACCGGAAGUCAGACAGAAAGUGCGGAGGAGAAGAUGGGAGGAGGGGAAGCUGGCAGAAAGGGUCUGGCACACAUCCACGUUGACUCCCAGAAGGAGAGAGAGGAAAAUUCAGAGUAAAGUCUAGAAAGAGGGUGGCUGACCACAGGUCUGUCUGAUUCUGUCAAGAAUAAUUCAGAAGGAGCUGCAAAUAAAGUGUUUGGGUUAAUAAGUUUGGCAGGUUUGCAGGAUACAAACCAAAAUGCAAACAUCUGUUGUAUUGGCAUAUAUGAGCAACAAAAAAAAAAAAUAGAAAAUAUAACUUUUUAAACAAUGCUGUAUUAGGGUUGGGCAUGAUGGCUCAUACCUGUAAUCCCAGCACUUUGGGAGGCCCCGGUAGACAAAUCACUUGAGGUCAAGAGUUCAAGACCAGCCUGGCCAACAAAGUGAAACUCCAUCUCUACUAAAAAUACAAAAUUAGCUGGAUGUGGUGGCACACGCCUGUAGUCCUAGCUAUUUGGGAGGCUGAGGCACAAGAAUCACUUGAACCUAGGAGGCAGAGGUUGCAGUGAGCCGAGAUCGUGCCACUGCACUCCAGCCUGGGCGACACAGUGAGACCCUGUCUCAAAAAAAACAAAAACAAAAAAGAUACUGCGUUAGUUAGGAUUCUCUAGAGAAACAGAACCAACAAGAUGUGUGUGUAUGUGCAUGCCUGCAUGUGCCUGUGUGUGUACGCAUGUGCACGUGUGUGUGCAUGUGUUUGUGUACACAGAGAGAGUACUGAUUUUUUUUUUUUUUUGAGACGGAGUUUCACUCUUUCACCCAGGCAGGAGUGCAGUGGUGCAACUUCGGCUCACUGCAACCUCCACCUCCCAGUUUCAAGCAAUUCUCCUGCCUCAGCCUCCCAAGUAGCUAGAAUUACAGGCGCCCGCCACCACGCCUAGCUAAUUUUUGUAUUUUUAAUAGAGAUGGGGUUGCACCAUGUUGGCCAGGCUGGUCUCGAACUCCUGACCUCGUGAUCCAUCCGCCUUGGCCUCCCAAAGUGCUGGGAUUACAGAUGUGAGCCACCACACCCAGCCUCGAUUAUUGAUUUUUUUAAGGAAUUGGCCCACACAAUUGUGGAGGCGUAGUGGGCCCAGAGUCUGCAGGGCAGGCCAACAGUCUGGAGACUCAGGGAGCAGUUGGAGUUUGAGUCCAAAGGCCACUUGCUGGCAGAAUUCCCUCUUCCCUUGGGGAGGUCGGCCUGUGUUCUAGUCAGGCCUUCACCUGAUUGGAUGAAACCCACCCACAUUAUGGGGAGCCUUCUGCCCCACUGAAGGUCAGCUGAUUUCAGUGUGAAUCUUAUCUGAAAAGCAGCCUCACAGCAACAUCCUGACCAAGUACUUGGGCACUGUGGCCCAGCCAAGUUGGCAUAAAAUUAACCAUCACAGAGACUAUUACAGCAGGACAGAUGGCAAGAAGCAUCGAGGAAUAAACCUAACAAAAUACGUGCAAGAUACACAGAGAAAAAAUACGAAAUUUUACUGCACGUCAUUAACGAAGAUCUAAAUAAAAGGAGAAAUAAAACAUAUUUGUUUUCAAAAAAUAAAC